UGGGGAAUAUUGCGCAAUGGGCGGAAGCCUGACGCAGCGACGCCGCGUGCGGGAUGAAGGCCUUCGGGUUGUAAACCGCUUUCAGCAGGGACGAACAAGGACGGUACCUGCAGAAGAAGCGCCGGCUAACUACGUGCCAGCAGCCGCGGUAAUACGUAGGGCGCGAGCGCUGUCCGGAAUUAUUGGGCGUAAAGAGCUCGUAGGCGGCCUGUCGCGUCCGCUGUGAAAUCCCGGGGCUCAACCCCGGGCCUGCAGUGGAUACGGGCUGGCUGGAGGCAGGCAGGGGAGAACGGAAUUCCUGGUGUAGCGGUGAAAUGCGCAGAUAUCAGGAGGAACACCGGUGGCGAAGGCGGUUCUCUGGGCCUGUACUGACGCUGAGGAGCGAAAGCGUGGGGAGCGAACAGGAUUAGAUACC
rnacentral:rRNA from 1 species